GCGGCGCUAGUGUAGUGGUAUCACGUUAGAUUCCCAAUCUCAUGACCCGGGUUCGAUUCCCGGGCGCCGCA
rnacentral:tRNA from 1 species